UGUUUCCUUUCUUGAGUGUGG
rnacentral:misc_RNA from 1 species